CACGUAGGGGGCAAGCGUUGUCCGGAUUAUUGGGCGUAAAGAGCUCGUAGGCUGUUCGGUAAGUCGGGUGUUAACCCUCAGGCUACAAUCCGUGGGGCCCCACCUCGAAUACUGCGUGUGGACUAGAGUCCGGUAGGGGAGGCGUGGAAUUCCUGGUGUAGCGGUGAAAUGCGCAGAUAUCAGGAGGAACACCAGCGGCGAAGGCGGCGCUCUGGGCCGGAACUGACGCUGAGGAGCGAAAGCGUGGGUAGCAAACAGG
rnacentral:rRNA from 1 species